AGUGAACGCUGGCGGUAGGCCUAACACAUGCAAGUCGAACGGCAGCACAGUAAGAGCUUGCUCUUACGGGUGGCGAGUGGCGGACGGGUGAGGAAUACAUCGGAAUCUACUUUUUCGUGGGGGAUAACGUAGGGAAACUUACGCUAAUACCGCAUACGACCUACGGGUGAAAGCAGGGGAUCUUCGGACCUUGCGCGAUUGAAUGAGCCGAUGUCGGAUUAGCUAGUUGGCGGGGUAAGGGCCCACCAAGGCGACGAUCCGUAGCUGGUCUGAGAGGAUGAUCAGCCACACUGGAACUGAGACACGGUCCAGACCCCUACGGGAGGCAGCAGUGGGGAAUAUUGGACAAUGGGCGCAAGCCUGAUCCAGCCAUACCGGGUGGGUGAAGAAGGCCUUCGGGUUGUAAAGCCCUUUUGUUGGGAAAGAAAAGCAGCAGGUUAAUACCCCGCCGUUCUGACGGUACCCAAAGAAUAAGCACCGGCUAACUUCGUG
rnacentral:rRNA from 1 species